GACGAACGCUGGCGGCGUGCUUAACACAUGCAAGUCGAACGGAAAGGCCCUGCUUUUGUGGGGUGCUCGAGUGGCGAACGGGGGAGUAACACGUGAGUAACCUGCCCUUGACUUUGGGAUAACUUCAGGAAACUGGGGCUAAUACCGGAUAGGAGCUCCUGCUGCACGGUGGGGGUUGGAAAGUUUCGGCGGUUGGGGCUGGACUCGCGGCUUAUCAGCUUGUUGGUGGGGUAGUGGCUUACCAAGGCUUUGACGGGUAGCCGGCCUGAGAGGGUGACCGGCCACAUGGGGACUGAGAUACGGCCCAGACUCCUACGGGAGGCAGCAGGGGGGAAUAUUGCACAAUGGGCGGAAGCCUGAUGCAGCAACGCCGCGUGCGGGAUGACGGCCUUCGGGUUGUAAACCGCUUUCGCCUGUGACGAAGCGUGAGUGACGGUAAUGGGUAAAGAAGCACCGGCUAACUACGUG
rnacentral:rRNA from 1 species